AUUUUGUUCUAAAACUUAAAAGUCUUCCAGAGCAGAUCCUCAGCAAGAGAGGUGGGACAGAGCAGUUCUUCCUAUCUACUCUUUGGAAAUCUGUUGACAAAGCACUGAUCUAUCUCUGACCUACUACAAGGAAGGAUGAAAAAGGGUCUUAGAUUUACUUCUGGUUUUGAAGUUCUGACUGUGUGCAAUGGAACUAGAAGUUUGGAGUUCUCUAAAGGAUGAACGUGAAGGUUGGAGGACAAUAGUUCAAACACAAGUCAUUGGACUCAGCAGCAAAUAUUCUUACUCACCAAGCUGUCUUGGGGGACUUUCCU